rnacentral:rRNA from 1 species
CCUACGGGUGGCAGCAGUGGGGAAUCUUGGGCAAUGGGCGCAAGCCUGACCCAGCAACGCCGCGUGAAGGAAGAAGGCUUUCGGGUUGUAAACUUCUUUUCUCAGGUACGAAUAAAGUGACGUUACUGUAAGAAUAAGCCACGGCUAACUACGUGCCAGCAGCCGCGGUAAUACGUAGGUGGAAAGCGUUAUCCGGAUUUACUGGGUGUAAAGGGCGAGUAGGCGGGAUUUCAAGUCAGAUGUGAAAACUAUGGGCUCAACCGAUAAAGUGCAUUUGAAACUGCCGUUCUUGAGUGAUGGAGAGGCAGGCGGAAUUCCCGGUGUAGCGGUGGAAUGCGUAGAUAUCGGGAGGAACACCAGUGGCGAAGGCGGGCUGCUGGACAUUAACUGACGCUGAGGCGCGAAAGCGUGGGGAGCAAACAGGAUUAGAUACCCUUGUAGUC